rnacentral:RNase_P_RNA from 1 species
AGGAGUUGGUGCUGCGGUUGCGGGCUAGGCGUGACCUGGCCUGAGGAAAGUCCGGGCUCCCGAAAGGUCAGGCUUGCUGGGUAACGCCCAGUGCGGGUGACCGUGAGGAUAGUGCCACAGAAACAUACCGCCAACGGGAACGAUGAACGAUGAACGAUGAACGAUGAAUUUAACUUCUGACUUCUGACCUCUGACUUCUGACUUCUACGGGUAAGGGUGCAAAGGUGCGGUAAGGGCGCACCAGCAGCAUCGAGAGGUGCUGGCUCGGUAAACCCCGGCUGGGAGCAAGGUCGCAGGGGCCAUGGUUGAUCUUUUUCCAGCCCCGCUUUUGGUGUACCGCUAGAGGCAGCUGGUAACAGCUGUCCCAGAUAGAUAACCGCCCGUUGAUGGUGAUAUCAGCGAGAACAGAACCCGGCUUACGGCUGACUCUUUCCA